CUAGCCACUCUGUUUAUAGUAGCUUCUGUCAGUUUCUUCUAUUGUUUUAUUUAAUGUGGGACUCUGGCCAACUAACUGCGCAGUCUAAUCUUACCAGGAUUUUCCAUCAACAGUUAACACUGAUAGGGAAGAACAUUCUAAAGCACCGUCUAACUGUCCAGUGAAGGGGAAGCUAAGAACAAGUCUUACAAUGAGUUACAGACACAGUGCAUCUUGUGACAGCACUUAGAGAUUUCUUUGCACUCCAGGAUUUCUGAUUUGUAUUAUUCGCUAUAAUGAAGUUAGAUUUUGUGUCGCUUACUGUCGAGAUUGUCUUAUGUAUAUUAUGUUUUGUGUAUGAGUAUGUUAAUUAUAUAACCGAUAUUUUGGUGAUCUUUGCUUUGGCACCUUGGGUGUUUGAUCAUUAGAAAAAUAUAUGAACUCUCAUGUCACUAAUGUUUUGCUCAUUUUAGUUGUGUCUUUUAGAAGUAACAAAAAAUAUUAUAAAAAAAAAUGUGCCUUAGGAGAUUGGACUCGACAAGUUAGAUAGUUUCCAUAGUGCUUCAGCUACCCUCAAAUUUCUUAGGUUACCAUAAUUGAGUUGAAAGAACUGAUAUCUCCCCGAGUGGUUGGUUUAUAGCAUUUGGCUCUUCUAUUUUUCAAGGGAAUGAAAUUUACUUUCCACUCUUCAUUUCCAUUUGUAUUAUUAUAAUUGAAUAGUUUUCCCUGUUCCAAUCAAAUGGAUUUUAAGGUAGAGGAUUUUAAUGUGUCACUGUGUGUAAUUUACAGUGAUUCCAUAUCUACUUACAUCAUCAUACUUGGGUAACUGUUACAAACCCAAAUCGGAUAGGGGUAAAAGAAAAGAAAGAUUUUAUUGAAUUGACAGAAAAAAAAAUAGAGAUUUUUCCUCCAAGCAACGAAACUUCCUUUCACAAUUAAUUCUCAAAAUUUUCGAGACUCAAGUAGACACCUCCCCUAUAUUUAUUUAUUUAUCUCUAGCCUCCCGACCAAACUAAUUAAUAUCCUAACAGUCUUAACUGCUUCCCUUUCCCUCUCUUCUAACAGUAGCGUAUGUUAUGAAACAGUUUACACAAGAAGCAUAAAUGGAAUAGAGAUCAGAGAACCCCUAGAAGGAAAUGUCAGCAUGCUGUCCUUUAUCAAGAUGAUAUUACUAGUUUCAUUAAAACAGCAGUCAUGAAGAAAAUAUGUAGUUUAAAAGCAACCAUGUAAGUGUGAACUGGAUACAAUCCUAAGUAAGUGUCAAGCCAUGUCUAAUUUGACACAAGUAAUGCACAGCCACCCUCUUUCUAAUUCAUAUUUAACUUUUGCCAAAGUAUUAGAUGGGUUGCACCAAAUAAUGUCAUGGCUGAAGCAUUGUUUUUUUUAGGGUUUACAAUGGCAGUAAUAAGAUUAUAAUUCAAAAAUUUGUAGAAAUUACUUCAACCUCUUAUCACUAGACUAAAUAUACUAGGUUAAGACUGGAGCAUUGUAGUGUGUAGUGUGGUUGUCUGAGUCUUAGCAUAUAAAGCUCAUAACAUCACAUAUAUAAGUGAAAACCAUCACAAUAAUAAGGUUGUGAAGAAUUUAGUUGCAAUCAUUAGCUUGAUGAUGUGAAUCUCGGUUAGUUACUAUAUGUUUUAUUUAUUUAUUAUUAUUAUUAUUUUGUAAUUAACAUGGGCUUGACUUUUCUCCAUAUUAGAUAGUCUUUCAACAAAUGCAAAAGAAAUAUCCUGUGCAAUUCAUUUUUGGUUACUGUUCGACCUACUACUUCAUGCAGGCUUUUUAUGAUUCAAGGAACAAUUUUCAUGUCUUUGUUAGCUGGAGGCUGGAGCUCUUUUUGGAGUUGUUGGAAGAAUUAUGUUAUUUGUAGCUGUUUUCAAUGCCAGCGCUGGAGCAUCAUCUUGCUUCUUUUUGUCUUUGAGUUAAUUGCACGACCUUUAUUAUAUUACAAACGUUUUUCUGAGGCUUGUAGCGUUUGACACCACCAAUUGCUGAUGUACCAUUUCGGAUUAUCUUUUUGGCAAAAUUGAUUUGCUUAUUCUACCUAAAUUACUGUAAACAUCAAAAUCAGCUUUACUAAAAUUUAAAG